rnacentral:lncRNA from 1 species
GAUGAAAGAAAAAAGAGAAUUCCAUUGUAAAGCCGUAUGCAAUGCACAAAAAAUGCCUGUACGGUUGUUCAAUUCUAUCUUUUUUUCUUAUUAUUCUUUAGCUAUUUUUAGCUAUUCUUCUCGCCUCAUUAUGUGAGUUAGAAGAACCUUUUAUUAUGUUAUAUCAUCAGGGUAAUGAUCCAUCAACCUACUAGUUCUUUUUAUGAGGCACAAACAGGAGAAUUUAUCCUAGAAGCGGAAGAACUACUGAAACUUCGCGAAAGCCUCACAAGGGUUUAUGUACAAAGAACGGGCAAGCCCCUAUGGGUCGUAUCCGAAGACAUGGAAAGAGAUGUUUUUAUGUCAGCAACAGAAGCCCAAGCUCAUGGAAUUGUGGAUCUUGUAGCGGUUAAAUAAGUUAAAUAACAAAUAGCAAUAGCAACGAUUUAACACCAAUCCACAAUUUAAUUAAGAUUGAUUUAAUCCCUCUUCUUCCUUUCCUUCUUAACUUAAGCCUAAAGCCUAAGGGGUUAAUAUUUUAUUAAUCUAUUAAAUAGAAAAAGAACUAAUUCAGAAAUAUCUGGUUAGGAUCGAUCUAAACCAGUCUAUUAUGUAUAUAAUUCAGUAUGCCAACUAUUAAACAACUUAAGCCAUUGCUGAAUCACAGACGAAAUAAAUAUAUAAAGCAACGGAGCCAUCAUAGUAUUUUUGAACUUUUCCGAAAAAAAAAGAAGGGUGGUAAUUGGAUUAUUUAGUGAUCUGGGUCUAAUAGACGCUCUCUAUAUUUUCUCUUUUUCUUUUUUCGAUGAAAGAAAAAAGAGAAUUCCAUUGUAAAGCCGUAUGUAAUGCACAAAAAAUGCCUGUACGGUUGUUCAAUUCUAUCUUUUUUUCUUAUUAUUCUUUAGCUAUUUUUAGCUAUUCUUCUCGCCUCAUUAUGUGAGUUAGAAGAACCUUUUAUUAUGUUAUAUCAUCAGGGUAAUGAUCCAUCAACCUGCUAGUUCUUUUUAUGAGGCACAAACAGGAGAAUUUAUCCUGGAA